rnacentral:rRNA from 1 species
AUCCUUCGGGACUUAGUGGCGCACGGGUGCGUAACGCGUGGGAACCUGCCUUUAGGUUCGGAAUAACUCAGAGAAAUUUGAGCUAAUACCGGAUAAUGUCUUCGGACCAAAGAUUUAUCGCCUCUAGAUGGGCCCGCGUUAGAUUAGAUAGUUGGUGGGGUAACGGCCUACCAAGUCGACGAUCUAUAGCUGGUCUGAGAGGAUGAUCA